UGAAGCUUUUGAGGUGAAGAAAAAGGAAAUGUUUGCAGCCAUGUUGGUUGUACACUAUAAAUAUAACACCUGGAUGAAUCAGUCCGAGAAUGUUUUUGGGGACUGUUACAGGAAACAAACAUAUUUUUUUAAGCCUAAAAGAAAAUUUGAUGUACUGAUUUUUGUGACUUAGUAAUGGAACUUGUUUGGAGAAAUUUUUGUUACACUGUUGAACAUUUGAUAUGAUGUAGUGAAAUUUAGUGCAACUUGGGAUUUUUUUUAGUCACAUUAAACAAAGGCUAAUGUAAGCUUUUCUAAUCACAAAGUAUCCAGCAUCUGUCUGUCACUUUUUUUCUUAAUUUCAGAUAUUGUAGAUUCAGGGUUUUUCAUAUUAUGACCCCCUGAGUUAGGUCACAACAAGGGUCCAAGUUUAAUGCAGUAAUAAAUAGGAAAUAUCUUAAAAGUCUUCUCAAGAAUAGCAAAGCUAUUGUUAGCCAUAUUAAUUUUUAAAAUGUAAAAUCUUUUCAAGGAAUAGCAAAACAUAAUUCAAAGCAUCUGUAUUUAGUGAAGUUUUAUUUUGAAAAAAUCUUUAAAAAGUCUUUCUCAACAACAACAAAUUCAUAAUAAGCAAUAUAUAUUGAAUUAUUCUUUGAAAUGUGCAUUAAACCUAGAAUGACCAUUUUUGUCUGGUUAGUGUCAUGGCCAAUUGGCUCUUUUGUUAAUAUAGCCAAAAGUUUCAAACAGACAUGUAUGACACUAUACAGGUAUGAUCAGAAAAAGAGAAAAAAACAUUGGCAAAUCCGAAUUUUAAAUGUAUGUACAUCUAUCUUGAAAUACAUUUACUCUCAUUUUGUAGUAUAUGAAAUACUGAUUUGGUUGGAUUUGUAUGUUGAACAUUGAAGAGUUAAUCAAUUUCAAUUUAUGACUGAAAAAGUUAAAAAUGUUAUAUAUAUAUAUAUAUAUGUGUGUGUCAGACAACAACAUGUUCCUAGAAAAAAAAAAUCGCUAGAAUUUGUAAUUGAAGUAUUGCUACUUGAACAAGUUUUAUCACCUAAAAUUGGGAUACCUUACCAGGAGUAUGGGCAAGACACCAGAGGGUGAUAUUUCUUAAAUAAUCCCUAUAUAAUCCCCAUGAUUAAUCCCUUGAAUCGCUUAUCUCAAAAAUUUUUAAACAUUGAAAACAAUUUAGAAAUCACUGAAGAAUGACAAUUAUGAAUAAUUAUUGAUAUUAUACCAUAUAUUUGAGGAACAUGCUGUCUGUCCUUAAGUCCUCUAAGCUAUGGUCUUAGGGCCUGGAUUUAAGUUUUUAAGAUAACAAAGAUUAUGUAUUUUAUUUUGUUUUAAGAAAGAUUAUGUUAUUUUAGUCUUGGUAUAUUUGUUUUAAAAAGAAAAUUUGUAAUCUUACUUUGUUGCAACAAGCACUGUCAAAUAAAGUAUAUAAUUUGU
rnacentral:misc_RNA from 1 species